rnacentral:rRNA from 1 species
AUACCGGGCCUUUUUGGGCUUGGUAAUUGGAAUGAGGGAGAGUUAAACGGACCAUCGAGUAUCCAUUGGAGGGCAAGUCUGGUGCCAGCAGCUGCGGUAAUACCAGCUCCAAUAGCGUAUAUUAAAGUUGUUGCAGUUAAAAAGCUCGUAGUUGGACUUGUGUGCGCUGUCCGCGGGUGGCCUGCGCCCAAAAGGGCGUUUCGGUUCGGCCCCGGUGGCGCCUUGAAAUCUGCAGCUGGGGGGACGUUGGCCUUAACUGGUCGGCGACCGCACGCCGGCUGCUCGGUUACUGUGAGAAAAUUAGAGUGUUCAAGGCAGGCAUUGGGUGCAAUUGAAUACAUUAGCAUGGAAUAAUAAAAUAUGGCUCCUGCCGUAUUUUGUUGGUUUUGACUGGUGGGAGUAAUGAUUGAUAGGGACGGUUGGGGGUGCUAGUAUUGAGCGGCCAGAGGUGAAAUUCAUGGAUUCGCUCAAGACUAACUUAUGCGAAAGCAUUCACCAAGGACGUCCUCUUUAAUCAAGAACGAAAGUUGGGGGAUCGAAGACGAUCAGAUACCGUCGUAGUCUCAACCAUAAACUAUGUCACUUGGGAUCGGCGGUAGUUUUUUCAUUAAGACACUGUCGGGACCACGGGAGAAAUCAAAGUGUCUGGACUCUGGGGGAAGUAUGGUCGCAAGGCUGAAACUUGAAGGAAUUGACGGAAGGGCACCACCAGGAGUGGAGCCUGCGGCUUAAUUUGACCCAACACGGGGAAACUUACCAGGUCCAGAGAUGUAGAGGAUUGACAGAUUGAAGCUCUUUCUUGAUCACUUCGGUGGUGGUGCAUGGCCGUUCUUAGUUGGUGGAGUGAUUUGUCUGGUUAAUUCCGUUAACGAACGAGACCUCAGCCUGCUAGUGUAGUCGGCUGGAUUGCCUUUGGCGAUCCGUGAUUUCGACUUCUUAGAGGGACAAUCGACGCGCAGUCGAUGGAAGUUUGAGGCAAUAACAGGUCUGUGAUGCCCUUAGAUGUUCUGGGCCGCACGCGCGCUACACUGCUGGGCUCAGCGAGUUUUACUUGGCCGAGAGGCCCGGUUAAUCUUGUGAAAUCCCAGCGUGCUUGGGCUCGCCUCCUGCAACUGGAGGCGCCAACGAGGAAUUCCUAGUAGACGCAGGUCAUCAACCUGCAUCGAUUACGUCCCUGCCCUUUGUACACACCGCCCGUCGUUCCAUAAGAGUGAGGCAUCCGGUGAAUUCUCGGGAGAGCCUGGGCGUGGCCAGCAAUGGUCUGCUCGGGUUUGAACUUGCAUAAACUUGG